rnacentral:rRNA from 1 species
UCGAGCGGGCGUAGCAAUACGUCAGCGGCAGACGGGUGAGUAACGCGUGGGAACGUACCUUUUGGUUCGGAACAACACAGGGAAACUUGUGCUAAUACCGGAUAAGCCCUUACGGGGAAAGAUUUAUCGCCGAAAGAUCGGCCCGCGUCUGAUUAGCUAGUUGGUGAGGUAACGGCUCACCAAGGCGACGAUCAGUAGCUGGUCUGAGAGGAUGAUCAGCCACAUUGGGACUGAGACACGGCCCAAACUCCUACGGGAGGCAGCAGUGGGGAAUAUUGGACAAUGGGCGCAAGCCUGAUCCAGCCAUGCCGCGUGAGUGAUGAAGGCCCUAGGGUUGUAAAGCUCUUUUGUGCGGGAAGAUAAUGACGGUACCGCAAGAAUAAGCCCCGGCUAACUUCGUGCCAGCAGCCGCGGUAAUACGAAGGGGGCUAGCGUUGCUCGGAAUCACUGGGCGUAAAGGGUGCGUA